UAGGGAAUCUUCGGCAAUGGACGAAAGUCUGACCGAGCAACGCCGCGUGAGUGAAGAAGGAUUUCGGAUCGUAAAACUCUGUUGUUAGAGAAGAACAAGGACGUUAGUAACUGAACGUCCCCUGACGGUAUCUAACCAGAAAGCCACGGCUAACUACGUGCCAGCAGCCGCGGUAAUACGUAGGUGGCAAGCGUUGUCCGGAUUUAUUGGGCGUAAAGCGAGCGCAGGCGGUUUCUUAAGUCUGAUGUGAAAGCCCCCGGCUCAACCGGGGAGGGUCAUUGGAAACUGGGAGACUUGAGUGCAGAAGAGGAGAGUGGAAUUCCAUGUGUAGCGGUGAAAUGCGUAGAUAUAUGGAGGAACACCAGUGGCGAAGGCGGCUCUCUGGUCUGUAACUGACGCUGAGGAUCGAAAGCGUGGGGAGCAAACAGG
rnacentral:rRNA from 1 species